AACUAACGCUGGCGGCAGGCCUAACACAUGCAAGUCGAACGCACCGCAAGGUGAGUGGCGCACGGGUGAGUAACACGUGGGAAUGUACCCUUUGGUUCGGAAUAACGUCUGGAAACGGACGCUAAUACCGGAUGAGCCCUGCGGGGGAAAGAUUUAUCGCCAAAGGAGCAGCCCGCGUCUGAUUUGCUAGUUGGUGGGGUAAAGGCCUACCAAGGCGACGAUCAGUAGCUGGUCUGAGAGGAUGAUCAGCCACACUGGGACUGAGACACGGCCCAGACUCCUACGGGAGGCAGCAGUGGGGAAUAUUGGACAAUGGGCGAAAGCCUGAUCCAGCCAUGCCGCGUGAGUGAUGAAGGCCUUCGGGUUGUAAAGCUCUUUCGCACGCGACGAUGAUGACGGUAGCGUGAGAAGAAGCCCCGGCUAACUUCGUGCCAGCAGCCGCCGUAACAC
rnacentral:rRNA from 1 species